rnacentral:rRNA from 1 species
GUGUCAGCCGCCGCGGUAAUACGUAGGGGGCGAGCGUUAUUCGGAAUUACUGGGUGUAAAGGGUAUGUAGGCGGCCUCACAAGUCGCGUGUCAAAGUCCAGCGCUUAACGCUGGGUUCGCACGUGAUACUGUCUGGCUUGAGGACUGGAGAGGUGAGCGGAAUUCCCGGUGUAGUGGUAAAAUACGUAGAUAUCGGGAGGAACACCAGCGGCGUAGGCGGCUCACUAGACAGUUUCUGACGCUAAGAUACGAAAGCGUGGGGAGCAAACAGGAUUAGAUACCCUGGUAGUCCACGCCCUAAACGAUGGAUACUUGGUGUUGGGGGGUUACCCUCAGUGCCGGAGCUAACGCGUUAAGUAUCCCACCUGGGGACUACGGCCGCAAGGCUAAAACUCAAAUGAAUUGACGGGG